UGGCUAUUUCCUGUGCUGCUG
rnacentral:misc_RNA from 1 species